GGUACCGUGGCAGAGUGGUUAUUGCGCUAGACUAGAAAUCUAGUCCUCUAGGGGUCGUCCGUUCGAAUCGGGCCGGUAUCG